UACGGGGGGAGCAAGCGUUGUUCGGAUUUACUGGGCGUAAAGGGCGCGUAGGCGGCGUGACAAGUCACUUGUGAAAUCUCCGGGCUUAACUCGGAACGGUCAAGUGAUACUGUCGUGCUAGAGUACAGAAGGGGCAACUGGAAUUCUCGGUGUAGCGGUGAAAUGCGUAGAUAUCGGGAGGAACACCUGUGGCGAAGGCGGCCCCCUGGUUGGAUACUGACGCUGAGACGCGAAAGCGUGGGGAGCAAACAGG
rnacentral:rRNA from 1 species